rnacentral:rRNA from 1 species
AGAGUUUGAUCCUGGCUCAGGACGAACGCUGGCGGCGUGCCUAACACAUGCAAGUCGAGCGGGGAACUUCGGUUCCCAGCGGCGGACGGGUGAGUAACACGUGGGUAACCUGCCUUGCAGAGGGGGAUAGCCUUCCGAAAGGAAGAUUAAUACCGCAUAAUAUUAAGAUAUCGCAUGAUAUUUUAAUUAAAGGAGUAAUC